UACGUAGGGUGCGAGCGUUAAUCGGAAUUACUGGGCGUAAAGCGUGCGCAGGCGGUUUUGUAAGCCAGAUGUGAAAUCCCCGGGCUUAACCUGGGAAUGGCAUUUGGGACUGCAAGGCUGGAGUGUGGCAGAGGAGACUGGAAUUCCUGGUGUAGCAGUGAAAUGCGUAGAGAUGUGGAGGAACACCGAUGGCGAAGGCAGCCCCCUGGGCUAACACUGACGCUCAUGCACGAAAGCGUGGGGAGCAAACAGG
rnacentral:rRNA from 1 species